CCUACGGGAGGCAGCAGUGAGGAAUAUUGGUCAAUGGACGCAAGUCUGAACCAGCCAUGCCGCGUGCAGGAAGAAGGUGCUAUGCAUUGUAAACUGCUUUUAUCCGGGGGUAAUUACAGAUACGCGUAUCUGGAUGAAAGUACCGUAUGAAUAAGGAUCGGCUAAAUCCGUGCCAGCAGCCGCGGUAAUACGGAGGAUGCGAGCGUUAUCCGGAUUUAUUGGGUUUAAAGGGUGCGUAGGCGGUCCAGAAAGUCAGCGGUAAAAGCCCGGGGCUCAACCCCGGCGAGCCGUUGAAACUGUCGGACUAGAGACGGCGAGAAGUACGCGGAAUGCGCGGUGUAGCGGUGAAAUGCAUAGAUAUCGCGCAGAACUCCGAUUGCGAAGGCAGCGUACCGGCGCCGGACUGACGCUGAGGCACGAAAGCGUGGGUAUCGAACAGGAUUAGAUACCCCUGUAGUC
rnacentral:rRNA from 1 species